GUAGGUGAACCUGCGGAAGGAUCAUUAUCAUUUUGAUCUAAUCCUAAACAAACCGCGAACUGUUCGUUUUGUUGUUCUUUGGAUCGAAAGAUCUAUCGAAUGGCAAAAUACCUUGAGUGCUCUAUCGGUAGAAUUUUGAUUAAGGGUGAUUCAUUUCUCUCUUUUUCUUACUUCUCUUUUAGAGUGCUUUUAACCAAUUGAACCAAAUUUAAUUUAUGACUGAAUUAUUCUUUUUCUUACCUAACCUAAA
rnacentral:misc_RNA from 1 species